AAUGGGUCAGCGACUUAUAUUCUGUAGCAAGGUUAACCGAAUAGGGGAGCCGAAGGGAAACCGAGUCUUAACUGGGCGUUAAGUUGCAGGGUAUAGACCCGAAACCCGGUGAUCUAGCCAUGGGCAGGUUGAAGGUUGGGUAACACUAACUGGAGGACCGAACCGACUAAUGUUGAAAAAUUAGCGGAUGACUUGUGGCUGGGGGUGAAAGGCCAAUCAAACCGGGAGAUAGCUGGUUCUCCCCGAAAGCUAUUUAGGUAGCGCCUCGUGAAUUCAUCUCCGGGGGUAGAGCACUGUUUCGGCAAGGGGGUCAUCCCGACUUACCAACCCGAUGCAAACUGCGAAUACCGGAGAAUGUUAUCACGGGAGACACACGGCGGGUGCUAACGUCCGUCGUGAAGAGGGAAACAACCCAGACCGCCAGCUAAGGUCCCAAAGUCAUGGUUAAGUGGGAAACGAUGUGGGAAGGCCCAGACAGCCAGGAUGUUGGCUUAGAAGCAGCCAUCAUUUAAAGAAAGCGUAAUAGCUCACUGGUCGAGUCGGCCUGCGCGGAAGAUGUAACGGGGCUAAACCAUGCACCGAAGCUGCGGCAGCGACGCUUAUGCGUUGUUGGGUAGGGGAGCGUUCUGUAAGCCUGUGAAGGUGUGCUGUGAGGCAUGCUGGAGGUAUCAGAAGUGCGAAUGCUGACAUAAGUAACGAUAAAGCGGGUGAAAAGCCCGCUCGCCGGAAGACCAAGGGUUCCUGUCCAACGUUAAUCGGGGCAGGGUGAGUCGACCCCUAAGGCGAGGCCGAAAGGCGUAGUCGAUGGGAAACAGGUUAAUAUUCCUGUACUUGGUGUUACUGCGAAGGGGGGACGGAGAAGGCUAUGUUGGCCGGGCGACGGUUGUCCCGGUUUAAGCGUGUAGGCUGGUUUUCCAGGCAAAUCCGGAAAAUCAAGGCUGAGGCGUGAUGACGAGGCACUACGGUGCUGAAGCAACAAAUGCCCUGCUUCCAGGAAAAGCCUCUAAGCAUCAGGUAACAUCAAAUCGUACCCCAAACCGACACAGGUGGUCAGGUAGAGAAUACCAAGGCGCUUGAGAGAACUCGGGUGAAGGAACUAGGCAAAAUGGUGCCGUAACUUCGGGAGAAGGCACGCUGAUAUGUAGGUGAAGUCCCUUGCGGAUGGAGCUGAAAUCAGUCGAAGAUACCAGCUGGCUGCAACUGUUUAUUAAAAACACAGCACUGUGCAAACACGAAAGUGGACGUAUACGGUGUGACGCCUGCCCGGUGCCGGAAGGUUAAUUGAUGGGGUCAGCGCAAGCGAAGCUCUUGAUCGAAGCCCCGGUAAACGGCGGCCGUAACUAUAACGGUCCUAAGGUAGCGAAAUUCCUUGUCGGGUAAGUUCCGACCUGCACGAAUGGCGUAAUGAUGGCCAGGCUGUCUCCACCCGAGACUCAGUGAAAUUGAACUCGCUGUGAAGAUGCAGUGUA
rnacentral:rRNA from 1 species